rnacentral:rRNA from 1 species
AUGGCGACCACCGCGGCCCUCCCCUUCUCCUGCGCCACCACCGUCCAGACCCUGACCCGGACCCUCUCCCCGCGCCGCUCCCUCCUCAUCCACCGCCACCGCCUCCGCUCCCUCGCCGCCUCCCCGCGGCUCCCGGACCGCGCCCGCCCCCGCCUCCGCCGCCCCGUCUCGGCCUCCGCCGCGCCCAACGGGUCCUCCUCCGGGGGGGAGCACGACUACGACCUCUUCACCAUCGGCGCCGGGAGCGGCGGCGUGCGGGCCUCGCGCUUCGCCUCCACCCUCUACGGCGCCCGCGCCGCCAUCUGCGAGAUGCCCUUCUCCACCAUCUCCGCGGACGACCUCGGCGGCCUCGGGGGCACAUGUGUGCUUCGUGGGUGCGUUCCCAAGAAACUGUUAGUGUAUGCAUCCAAGUUCUCUCAUGAGUUUGAAGAGUCUCAUGGCUUUGGAUGGACAUAUGAUACUGAUCCAAAGCAUGACUGGAGCACUCUGAUAGCCAACAAAAAUACAGAGCUGCAACGCCUAGUUGGCAUUUACAAAAAUAUUUUAAAGAACGCAAACGUCGAUCUAAUUGAAGGCCGUGGAAAGGUGGUUGAUCCACAUACUGUUAGUGUGGAUGGCAAGCUCUACACCGCUAAGAACAUACUUAUAGCUGUUGGUGGUCGACCAUCGAUGCCCGAUAUCCCAGGAAUAGAGCAUGUUAUAGAUUCCGAUGCUGCACUAGAUCUGCCUUCAAAACCUGAGAAAAUUGCAAUAGUGGGAGGUGGAUAUAUUGCCUUGGAGUUUGCUGGCAUUUUUAAUGGCUUAAAAAGUGAUGUUCAUGUGUUUAUUCGGCAGCCGAAAGUUUUAAGAGGGUUUGAUGAGGAGGUCAGAGAUUUCGUUGCUGAACAGAUGUCUUUAAGGGGUAUCACAUUUCAUACUGAACAUAGUCCUCAAGCUAUAACCAAAUCAAAUGAUGGUUUACUAUCUUUGAAGACAAACAAAGAAACUAUUGGUGGGUUUUCACAUGUAAUGUUCGCAACAGGUCGUAAACCGAAUACGAAGAACCUCGGACUGGAGGAGGUUGGGGUUAAAAUGGACAAGAAGGGGGCUAUAGUGGUCGAUGGGUAUUCUCGAACCUCGGUGGAUUCAAUUUGGGCUGUUGGAGAUGUUACUGAUAGGAUCAACUUGACUCCGGUUGCACUGAUGGAAGGUGGAGCAUUUGCGAAAACUUUAUUCGGUGAUGAACCUACCAAACCAGAGUACAGAGCUGUACCAGCUGCUGUUUUCUCCCAACCACCCAUUGGGCAAGUUGGCCUUACCGAGGAGCAGGCUAUUGAAGAGUAUGGAGAUGUUGAUGUCUACUUGUCAAACUUCAGACCUCUUAGAGCCACUCUUUCUGGAUUACCUGAUCGUGUACUAAUGAAGCUCAUUGUGUGUGCUACUACGAACAAAGUUGUAGGAGUGCAUAUGUGCGGUGAUGAUGCACCUGAGAUAAUCCAGGGAAUUGCAAUUGGUGUUAAAGCUGGGUUAACGAAGCAAGAUUUUGAUGUCACUGUUGGCGUUCACCCAACAUCUGCAGAGGAAUUUGUCACUAUGAGGAGUCCAACUAGAAAAGUUCGAAGAAAAACUGCAGCUGAGGCAGAGUCUAAGGAUGAGGUCGUCACUCAGAAGUAG